AUGGCGACGCUUCUCCCAGCCUGCUCCGCCUCCUCUCCCGCAUCCGCCUCCGCCGCGCCGCCCGGCAUGUCCUCCUCCUCCCCAGCUUCUCCAACGCCGGCUGACGCAGCGGGAGGGGCCGUGGAGAAGCCCACGGCGGCGCCAUACGGGUCCUGGAGGUCGCCCAUCACCGCAGACAUCGUCUCCGGUGCCGACAAGCGCCUCGGUGGCAUCGCCCUUGCCAGAGACGGCCGCCUACUAUGGAUCGAGGGCCGCCCCGAGGAGAAAGGGCGUAUGGUUAUUGUAAAGGAGGGUGACAAGCCUGUGGAUGUCAUACCUCAGGAAUUCGCAGCACGCACCCUUGUUCAAGAAUACGGAGGUGGCGCAUUUGCAGUCCAAGAUAAUACUGUUGUUUUCUCAAACUACAAGGAUCAACGUCUGUACAAGCAACCGACUGAAAUUGGAAGUCUGCCCGUGCCUCUUACACCCGAUUAUGGUGCACCUGACGUCAGUUAUGCUGGUGGUGUAUUUGAUCCACACUUCAGCCGUUAUGUUACUGUGAUGGAAGAUCGGCGAACGAGUAACUUGAAUCCCGCUACAACAAUUGCGUGUAUAAACUUAAGCGGUGGGGAUAUCCAUGAACCGAAGGUGCUGGUCAGUGGGAAUGACUUCUAUGCUUCUCCAAGAAUUGAUCAAAACAAAAAGCGGAUGGCAUGGAUUGAGUGGGGUCAUCCAAACAUGCCAUGGGAUAAAUCAGAACUCUGGGUUGGCUACUUCUCUGAAAGCGGAGAGUUAACCAAACGGGUCUGUGUUGCUGGAGGCAACCCAAUGCUGGUGGAAUCCCUUGCUGAGCCUAAAUGGUCUCCAAAAGGAGAACUGUUUUUCAUAACUGACAGAGAGAGUGGAUUCUGGAACAUUUAUAAAUGGGUUGAACAUAGCAAUGAGGUUGUUCCGGCGUACACAUUAGAUGCUGAGUUCACCAGACCAUUGUGGGUUUUUGGCAACAGGUCUUACGAUUUUCUUGGAAACAGCAAUCACAUCGUCUUAACUUACAGGCAGCGCGGAACGUCAUAUCUUGGUGUUCUUGAUUGUGAUUCAGGCUUGGUUUCAUUGCUCGACACCCCUUUCUCCGAUUUGUCCAAUGUGGUUGCUGGAAAUGAUUACUUCUAUAUCGAAGGUGCAUCUGCAAGUGUCCCAAUGUCAAUUGCAAAGGUGACUUUGGAUAAGAACAAAACAAAAGCAAUUAGUUUCUCAAUAGUCUGGUCUUCCUCACCAGAUGUUGUGCAGUAUAGACCUUUCUUCAGCACCCCAGAAUUUAUUGAGUUCCCUACAUCCAGCCCUGGGCAGAUGGCGUAUGCCUAUUUCUACCCACCUUUGAAUCCCAUGUUUCAAGGUUUACCAGAUGAAAAGCCUCCAUUGCUGGUCAAAACGCAUGGAGGACCUACGGCUGAAACACGCGAAAUUCUAGACCUUAGUGUCCAGUAUUGGACAAGUCGAGGAUGGGCAUUUCUUGAUGUUAACUACGGAGGAAGCACUGGAUAUGGGAGAGAAUACCGAGAGAGAUUAUUGGGGAAAUGGGGUAUUGUCGAUGUUGAUGAUUGUUGCAGCUGUGCAAGAUUCCUGGUCGAGAGCGGGAGCGUAGAUGAACAACGCCUAUGUAUAACGGGGAGAUCAGCAGGCGGAUACACUACUUUAGCUUCACUCGCAUUCAGAGAUACAUUCAAGGCUGGAGCAUCUUUGUAUGGUAUUGGUGAUUUGUCUUUGAUGAGAGCAGACUCACAGAAAUACGACUCCCAUUAUAUCGACAAUCUUGUCGGAGAUGAAAGAGCUUACUAUGAGAGGUCACCAAUCAACUUUGUCAAUAAAUUUACAUGCCCAGUAAUUCUGUUUCAAGGGUUGGAUGAUAAGGUCGUACCACCAAACCAAGCACGUAAAAUAUACCAGGCUUUGAAAGAAAGAGGUCUGCCUGUUGCUUUGGUUGAGUAUGAAGGGGAGCAGCACGGGUUCCGCAAGGCCGAAAACAUCAAGUUUACCUUGGAGCAGCAGAUGGUGUUUUUCGCUCGAUUAGUCGGGAAAUUUGAGGUGGUGGAUGAUAUAACUCCAAUCAAGAUCGAAAACUUUGAUUGA
rnacentral:rRNA from 1 species